rnacentral:rRNA from 1 species
AGUGAACGCUGGCGGUAGGCCUAACACAUGCAAGUCGAACGGCAGCACAGUAAGAGCUUGCUCUUACGGGUGGCGAGUGGCGGACGGGUGAGGAAUACAUCGGAAUCUACUUUUUCGUGGGGGAUAACGUAGGGAAACUUACGCUAAUACCGCAUACGACCUACGGGUGAAAGCAGGGGAUCUUCUGACCUUGCGCGAUUGAAUGAGCCGAUGUAGGAUUAGCUAGUUGGCGGGGUAAAGGCCCACCAAGGCGACGAUCCGUAGCUGGUCUGAGAGGAUGAUCAGCCACACUGGAACUGAGACACGGUCCAGACUCCUACGGGAGGCAGCAGUGGGGAAUAUUGGACAAUGGGCGCAAGCCUGAUCCAGCCAUACCGCGUGGGUGAAGAAGGCCUUCGGGUUGUAAAGCCCUUUUGUUGGGAAAGAAAAGCAGCAGGUUAAUACCCCGCUGUUCUGACGGUACCCAAAGAAUAAGCACCGGCUAACUUCGUG